GUGUUGGGCCAGAUCGACUCAGUCAACAGCAGGCCCAAUUUGACCAUUCGCUACUCGCCGCGAGCCAACACCUCCCACGAUCCCUAGAUGAGUUACGAUGUCCUACUUUGGCGGACCCGUACCACAGCGGCCCGAUUUAACCAAUCAAAAGACAGUAUACGAGACGGGUUAUGGAAAGCAGGUGCUGUAGUUCAUGAAUAAUUAUGUAGUAAACGACAGAAAGGUGCUUAGGAAUCAGCAUCGCUGUACGGUGGGAUUCAAGCCGAAUAAACGGGUUAUCAGGUUGAGAUUAGGAAUCCGCAUCGCUGUACGGUGGGAUUCAUGUCGAAUAAGCGGGUAAUCGGGUCUACGGUUCGUUCUUGCCCCCGACCGACCCAAAGAUGCAUUCGGCGUCCCGCCACCACGCCUCCCUCGUCCACCUGCUCCAACUCCACUAGUUCCGACCCAAAGCCGCCCUCGACCACCACCCAUUCGUCGCUUCCAAGCUCAUCUUCUCUCUCCGUCGCCGAUGCCUGCCCCGUUCUUCGUUUGGAACUCCCUUAUCCGUGCGUUCCCGGGUUCGGACUUCCACCCAUCCGCUUGUUCUCAAAACCUAUCGCCGAGUUUCCGUGUUGCGACUCGGUGAAAUGGUUUAUGCGCCGGCCUUAAAUGCGGGGCGUUUGCUGGAUUUCUACGUUGGCGGGCCCUCUCUUAGUGGGAUGUCCUGAAGCGCUCGGAAGGUAUUCGAUGGAAUGGGUGUUUGGGAUGUCGUUUCAUGAAGCUCCAUAAUUCAAGGAUGUCUUGCAUGGUAGGUGUUACGGUAAGAAACAUUUUUUAGCCGUGACCUCUGUGUCGACGCGGCUGGUUCAGGGCUCCAAAUGGCUGGGAUCAGACGUGGCUUCCCCGGGGGUGCUGUGGUGACUGAUGUAGGGGAUAUGAUUGGAAAGUUCCACGGCGUCAAGUGGGUUCGACGGCGGUCGAGUACCUGCACACAGGUCGGGUCGGUGGUUCGGCCCGACCCCUCCGACGAUCAAGUCAGUGAUGGUGGAGAGGAGUUUUUGAGUGAGAUCGUCCCCCUUCCUAUUGGGAGCCAGAGGGUAUUUAUAAGUAGGUUUGAUGUUACCUGAUGUGCCAUCCUGCCGGGGCAGGGUCGUACCUCCGAUGGCGUCUGUUGUCGUGGUCGUUGCGUGGAAGGCCGAGCUGCCGCAGGGUAUGGGGGGUGUCAGUCAGCGCCAUCCCCUGCCUCGGCCGGCCAUGAGGGGUCAGCCGAGGAGGUUGUUUGGGUAUGGUGGGUGUGGGUGCGCGUCGUGUCGUUGUUAAUGCACGUUCUGGGGCAGUGUGCCGCACAGGGUGUCCGACGUGGGGGUGCAUUACGUCAAAUCCGGGGUGUUAUGUCAAAUCAGUUUUUUUACCCGUAUCAGUAGGCAUUUUCAAAAAGGUGAAGGUGGCUUCGUGGCAACUCUCAUACUGGUGCCUCGGAAACUCAAAUCACAGAAUCAGCAAAAAGUUGUCGCAGACACUUCUCUCAAUCUAUCAACUUGCAAAUUCAUACUGGCCCAUGGCACAUGGCUCAUUCAAAUGUGGUAUGGGAAUGGGCCGUUUUGGAAAAUAUUCAUGGUGCAUGUAGAAACCCUGUAUAUGCUCAAGUCUAGGACCGAAAAUGGAUUAAUGUGUACCAUAUGUUGAAAAAGAUUAGGUGCAAAAUAUGCUUAUUAAUAGGUGAUCAUAUUGAUUAUAAUACCAUGAACAUACUAGGUGCAGAAUGAACCUUUUUUUUUAGUUUUAUGCAGUGUUUAUUGGUAA